rnacentral:tRNA from 1 species
GCUUAGAUGGCGGAAUUGGUAGACGCGCUGCAUUCAGGGUGCAGUCUUAGUAUUAAGGUGGGGGUUCGAGUCCCCCUCUGAGCA